GUAUGCUUCGUGCGCAAGCACACUCUGGCCUCCUCUUCUACUCUCUGCGUGCAAGAACAGAGAGAAAGCAAAACUGACUAGGCACUUUCACUCGUGAUUUAGGGCGAUUUAGAGUCGGACUUUGAAUAUGCUGAAGUUGAAGAAAAGAUAGACGAAGGUAUUAUUUUAUUAUUUUCUGGAGUCAUUUAGAGCUUGAGGAGUAGGAUUUGUGUAGCGAAGUCAACUACGAAGUUGAAGAUCAAGGUAUGAGCUUUGCAAUACAUUGAUUUACUUGUGCAUGCAGGGUGGUAAUUAGUUCGUCUUUUAGCUCGUUAUUAGCUAUGCGAUGGUAGUGCUUAGUGGUUAGAAAUAAUUUCAGACGACAGAUGUAGCAUUUAUACUAUUUUUUCAGAAGAGUAGGUUGAAGAUGUUGUAUCAAUGUUAGGUGCGUCCAUUAGUAUUGACAUGCGGGAAAUCUUAAUACGGUAAUUAAGAAAAAAUUGUACUGUAAUUGUUCAUUGCAUGUGGUACGUUAUUUCAUGUGGUAUGUUAUUUCAUGUGGUAUGUUUAUUAAUAAGUCUAUAGUUAGGAAACCGUAGGUCUACUUUGUUAUGUCGCAAUAAUCUAAAUUUUAUAUGUUAAGAUUAGGUGCUAAUGUACUUAAUGAUGUAUGUAAUUAGGUAAAAUAAUUCAUCUUAGUAGCAAACAAGGAGGAGAUGACGUGAUUGAAGAAAUUGUGUAUCCAUCUUCGCUGUCCCUUUUGAGGUUGACUCCGUUCAUAUAGCACUGGUGACGGAUAUUUAUUGGAACUAUUUUGACGCUUAAUUGCAUUCGCAAGCACAUCCAUAUUGGAGCUAAGGUAUAAAAUGACACCGUAAUUUUGAUAAUAUUUUUUGUAUUGAUGUACUAUUGUGAAUAAUGUGCAUGCCGCUGUAAAUAUUAUUAUUUGUAAAUAAAUGAUUGUUAUCGUAUGAUAUGAAAAAAUUAUAUAAAGCCGGAAGAAAUUAAAUGGUUUACUCAUAUGAUAUUAAAAUGUUAUUAUCGUACUAUUAUGUUUAGUGGUUGUUUGGAUAGCGAGUAAUUACCAUCGGUUUUGUCAUAACCUGUUGUAAGAAAAUUAGUUUUUACUAAUAGUCGUUUUUCCAAAAGCUCAGUUUUUGCAUGUUACGAGAAUCAGUUUAGGAUAUUUUUGGGGUAGUGGGAGAAAAGCAAACAGAGUUUUAGUUUGUGACGCUCGUAGACGAGUUAGAGAAAAAAAAAGAUCUCUAAAUACCCAUUAACCAAACAA